GAACAACAAAGCUAUGACAGACCCUUCAAGAAAAUACUUAAGCAGCAGUAGAGAAAAGCAGCUGAGUUUGAAACAAGCAGAAGAAAAUCGAACACCGGGGCUUUUACCUUUGCAGUCAUCCUCAUUUUAUGGGAGCAGAACUGGAUCAAAGGACUACUCUUCUGGUGGCACUAACCUGGACAGGUGUAAUAUUUCAAACCAGACUCCUUCUGCCAAAAGAAGCUUGGGGUUCCUUCCUCAGCCAACUCCCCUAUCUGUUAAAAAACUGAGGUGUAACCAGGAUUACACAGGCUGGAACAAACCUAGAGCGCCCCUUUCCUCUCACCAACAGCAGCUGCAGGGAUUCUCCAAUUUGGGAAAUACAUGCUAUAUGAAUGCUAUCUUACAAUCUCUGUUUUCACUCCAGUCAUUUGCAAAUGAUUUACUUAAACAAAGUAUCCCAUGGAAGAAAAUUCCACUCAAUGCACUUAUCAGACGCUUUGCAAACCUGCUUAUUAAAAAAGAUAUUUCUAAUUCAGAGACCAAAAAAGAACUACUUAAGAAGGUUAAAAAUGCUAUUUCAGCUACUGCAGAGAGAUUCUCUGGCUAUGUCCAAAAUGAUGCUCAUGAAUUUUUAAGUCAGUGCUUAGAUCAGCUGAAGGAAGAUAUGGAAAAACUGAAUAAAACUUGGAAGACAGAACCUGUCCUUGGAGAAGAAA
rnacentral:lncRNA from 1 species